CGCAAAACCUAUUGCGAGAGAAAAAUACAAUUUCAAGCUGGCAAUUUCAUAAAACAACAACAAAAAUAUUUAUGAGUGAUACGAUAUUCUACAAGUGGGGUCUGUACUUUCAAUUCAUCCUUUUGAAAUACUACACCUCUUCCAACUCUGCUUUUGUAAAUAUCAUACUGUUUAAUUUCUAUUGCUUACUUCUGUUUACGUAAUUCAUGCGUUGUAAAUAUAUAUUUGUAUGUAUGGUUUUAAAUAUCAUUCUGUCUGAGGAUGACUUUGAAAUAAAGUCGAAAGUUUACAGUUCACUUCUCGUCUUGUUUUGAUGCAUAUUUUGCAAUCUGAAGAUCUCUUGCUUUUUCGGAGUUUGCUUUAUACUAUAUUUACGAGUGAAGUUCAAUAAUCAGCAGGACAACAAACCAUCCAUAAUGAAAUUAAAGAUAAGGACAUAAGGCGUGGAAAAGAUAGGAAAUAUCUACAUAUUAUGUCAGUUUGAACACAACCAAUGACCUUGUAUGACUGAAGAUUUUGUAACACCGCAUGACCUUGUAGACAAAAGAAAAACACCAUUAAAACAUGGAUAGUCAUCGCUUUCAAACGGGAAAAAUUCACAAACGAUUUAAAAUCGCGGUAACGUGCUACGAAUGAGUUUUAUUUUGAAUUUACAGAAGAAAAUUUUGGCACGAAAAUGAAAAAUGAAUAUUUUUAUCAAACAUGUGGCAAUAUUAGCUACUUGAAAAAAUAAAUGUGCAGCAGUUUUCUGUCAAACUUCUCCAG